AAAGAUUUUUAAAAAAGAAGCUGCUAACUAUCUUUUAAAGCAUAAAAUUUGUUUAAUCUUUAA
rnacentral:tRNA from 1 species